GACGAACGCUGGCGGCGUGCUUAACACAUGCAAGUCGAACGGAAAGGCCCUGCUUUUGUGGGGUGCUCGAGUGGCGAACGGGUGAGUAACACGUGAGUAACCUGCCCUUGACUUUGGGGUAACUUCAGGAAACUGGGGCUAAUACCGGAUAGGAGCUCCUGCUGCAUGGUGGGGGUUGGAAAGUUUCGGCGGUUGGGGAUGUACUCGGGGGUUAUCAGCUUGUUGGUGGGGUAGUGGCUUACCAGGGCUUUGACGGGUAGCCGGCCUGGGAGGGUGACCAGCCACCUGGGGACUGCGAUACGGCCCAGACUGCUACGGGAGGCAGCGGGGGGGAAUAUGGCAGAACGGGCGGAAGCCUGAUGCAGCAGCGCCGCGUGCGGGAUGACCGCCUUCGGGGUGUAAACCGCUUUCGCCUGUGACGAAGCGUGAGUGACGGUAAUGGGUAAAGAAGCACCGGCUAACUACGUG
rnacentral:rRNA from 1 species